rnacentral:misc_RNA from 1 species
GAUGAAGAAGUAGCGAAAUGCGAUACUUGGUGUGAAUUGCAGAAUCCCGUGAACCAUCGAGUCUUUGAACGCAAGUUGCGCCCGAAGCCAUCAGGUUGAGGGCACGUCUGCCUGGGCGUCACAUAUCGUUGCCCAAUGCCUAUUGCAGUGCAAUAGGAAUUUCUAGGGCGAAUGAUGGCUUCCCGUGAGCGUUGUUGCCUCGCGGUUGGUUGAAAAUCGAGUCCUUGGUAGGGUGUGCCAUGGUAGAUGGUGGUCGAGUUAGAACGAUACCGAUCAUGUGCAUGCUCCCCAAAAUAUGGCCUCUAUGACCCACACGCGUCUUUUGACGCUCAUGACGAGACCUCAGGUCAGGCGGGGCUACCCGCUGAAUUUAAGCAUAUCAAUAAGCGGAGGA